rnacentral:rRNA from 1 species
UACGUAGGGCGCGAGCGUUGUCCGGAAUUAUUGGGCGUAAAGAGCCCGUAGGCGGCCUGUCGCGUCAAUUGUGAAAGCCCGGGGCUCAACCCCGGGUCUGCAGUCGAUACGGGCAGGCUAGAGUUCGGUAGGGGAGAUCGGAAUUCCUGGUGUAGCGGUGAAAUGCGCAGAUAUCAGGAGGAACACCGGUGGCGAAGGCGGAUCUCUGGGCCGACACUGACGCUGAGGAGCGAAAGCGUGGGGAGCAAACAGG